UACGAAGGGGGCUAGCGUUGCUCGGAAUUACUGGGCGUAAAGGGCGCGUAGGCGGAUAGUUUAGUCAGAGGUGAAAGCCCAGGGCUCAACCCUGGAAUUGCCUUUGAUACUGGCUAUCUUGAGUUCGGGAGAGGUGAGUGGAACUCCGAGUGUAGAGGUGAAAUUCGUAGAUAUUCGGAAGAACACCAGUGGCGAAGGCGACUCACUGGCCCGAUACUGACGCUGAGGCGCGAAAAGCGUGGGGGAGCAAACAGG
rnacentral:rRNA from 1 species